UUCGCAAUGCCCGAAAGGGUGACGAAGCGACGCCGCGUGUGGGAAGAAGGCCUUCGGGUUGUAAACCACUGUCGGGAGUUAAGAAAUACAAGGAUAUGAAUAGUGUCUUUGUUUGACUAAGGCUCCGGAGGAGGCCACGGCUAACUUUGUGCCAGCAGCCGCGGUAAUACAGAGGCGGCAAGCGUUGUUCGGAAUUAUUGGGCGUAAAGAGCACGUAGGCGGCUAUGUAAGUCGGUUGUGAAAGCCUUCCGCUCAACGGAAGAACAGCAUCCGAUACUACAUGGCCUGAGUGCGGGAGGGGAGAGUGGAACUUCUGGUGGAGCGGUGAAAUGCGUAGAUAUCAGAAGGAACGCCGGCGGCGAAAGCGGCUCUCUGGCCCAUAACUGACGCUGAGUGUGCGAAAGCUAGGGGAGCAAACGGGAUUAGAUACCCCGGUAGUCCUAGCCGUAAACGAUGGGCACUAAGUAGAGGGGUUUU
rnacentral:rRNA from 1 species